GAGCACGUAGGUGGGUUUGUAAGUCAGAUGUGAAAGCCUUCUGUUCAACGGAAGAAUUGCAUCUGAAACUGCAAGUCUUGAGUGUAGGAGGGGAGAAUGGAACUUCUGGUGGAGCGGUGAAAUGCGUAGAUAUCAGAAGGAACGCCGGCGGCGAAAGCGAUUCUCUGGCCUAUUACUGACACUCAGUGUGCGAAAGCUAGGGGAGCAAACGGGAUUAGAUACCCCGGUAGUCCUAGCCGUAAACGAUGGGCACUAAGUAGAGGGAAUUACCGAUGUUCUCUCUGCCGUAGCUAACGCAUUAAGUGCCCCGCCUGGGGAGUACGGCCGCAAGGCUAAAACUCAAAAGAAUUGACGGGGGCUCGCACAAGCGGUGGAGCAUGUGGCUUAAUUCGAUGCAACGCGAAAAACCUUACCGGGGCUUGACAUGGUAGAAGUAGGAACCCGAAAGGGUAACGAACGGUAUCCAGUCCGUAGCUAUUACAGGUGUUGCAUGGCUGUCGUCAGCUCGUGUCGUGAGACGUUGGGUUAAGUCCCCUAACGAGCGAAACCCUUAUUUUUAGUUACCAGCGGGUUGUGCCGGGUACUCUAGAAAGACUGCCGUCGUCAAGACGGAGGAAGGUGGGGAUGACGUCAAGUCAUCAUGGCCCUUAUGCCCCGGGCUGCACACGUGCUACAAUGGUCGGUACAACGGAUGCGAAGCCGAGAGGUGAAGCGAAUCC
rnacentral:rRNA from 1 species